AUGCCUUUAGAUUGGGGACAACAGUUGGAAACGACUGCUAAUACCGAAUGUGCCUUAGGGUGAAAGAUUUAUUGUCUAGAGAUUGGCUCGCGUCAGAUUAGCUAGUUGGAGUGGUAACGGCACACCAAGGCGACGAUCUGUACUUGGUCUGAGAGGAUGACCAGGCACACUGGAACUGAGACACGGUCCAGACUCCUACGGGAGGCAGCAGUGGGGAAUUUUCCGCAAUGGGCGAAAGCCUGACGGAGCAAUACCGCGUGAGGGAGGACGGCUUUUGGGUUGUAAACCUCUUUUAUCAGGGAAGAAUCGAUGACGGUACCUGAUGAAUCAGCAUCGGCUAACUCCGUGCCAGCAGCCGCGGUAAUACGGAGGAUGCAAGCGUUAUCCGGAAUUAUUGGGCGUAAAGCGUCCGUAGGUGGUUUAUCAAGUCUGCUGUCAAAGCGUGCGGCUUAACCGCAUAAGGGCAGUGGAAACUGAUGAACUAGAGUGCGAUAGGGGUAACAGGAAUUCCCAGUGUAGCGGUGAAAUGCGUAGAUAUUGGGAAGAACACCAGCGGCGAAAGCGUGUUACUGGGUCUGCACUGACACUGAGGGACGAAAGCUAGGGGAGCGAAUGGGAUUAGAUACCCCAGUAGUCA
rnacentral:rRNA from 1 species